AUAAUUAUACAUUUUUAAAGGCUCUUUUUGAGGUUGUAUCCCAUAUAUGAACUUUUCAUAAAAAAAAAAAAACACGUUUCGUAGGUAUGUGAACUUUAUAUCGUCAUUUUAUGGAUUUACAUGAUUUUUAUUGACCAGCAGGUGGCAGUAAUACGCAAUAAAAUUAUCUACCAGUUACAAUUUAUUUGCUAUCGGAGGCGAAUAACGCGUUAUAAUUUCUUUGUUUUUGUUUUUAAAAUAGUGUGAAAUUCUGUCAAAUUCAGUAAAAUAUCUGAGCGUAAACAUGACACGUGAUGUAGACUGUCAUUAAUCAGCCAAUCAGCAAAGGGGAAAGACGCGCUCACCUGUCCGUCAUAAAGCCCCGCCCCCUGCAGUCAGGUGCUUUAACCUGAUAUAAUUAGCAUCUUGUAGGCUAACAUGAUAGGACCCUGGCCUGUCGCAAUGCAUUGUGGGAGUACAGGAAUGUGCAUAAUAUCUAAUAGGAGACUUUCAUGGGGAUAAAUCUAAAUAAAACACAUUUAUUAGUGUAGAAAUGUGGGGAAGUUUUAGACAAAGUUUGUUUUUGAAAUUGAUUUGGUCACGUGGGCAAAGGGGAGGAGCCAGGGAGAAGUGUCCAAAAGUUCUUCUUGGGAAUCUUCUAUCUGAAUUCAGCUAGAGACAUCUGACCCAGCAUGUGAAGAGCAUAACAUGAAAUUCAGGUGUUUUAAAGCGGGAAACAAACACACACACACACACACACACACACAGUGAAGGUGAUGAAGAGGAACUUGUGAAGGAACUCGAGAAGAACCCUCUGUCUCCUGUCUGACUCCGAACCACAGCUUCUCCUUCUGAGCUCCUCCUGGACGUCACGCAUAUGUCGGAGCUCAUUACUUAAAGCACAAGGUCUCAGAAAGAGGACGUGUCUGGGACACGGAGGACGUCUGGGCAUCCUAAAAUAACAGCCACAAUCAGGAUGCUUGUGGACCAGAUUCCAUCCUGAACCUGAACCAAAGAGCCGUAUUCGUCUCAGCCAAUCAGAUCCUGAGAACAUUGACGUGAACGGGAAAGAGAAGAGCCUGCUGGGAUUGUGGGCGGAGACACGCAGACUCCAAUUACCUCUAUGGUGGUGGUGGUAUUUUGCGCACCGUUUGCCUUUUAUGGAGAUUUGUGGGUGUGGCUUAACCAAAUCUGGCAGGAAGCAUUUUUUGCAGUCUGGCCACAACAUCCUCACUAAUGCAUUCUUUGUUUUUCAUUUCACACUGAAACCUGUAUGCUAAUCCUAAACCUGAACAUGCCUACACGCAAGCUUUAGCUCGCUAACUAGCCACCGGCUAAUCAGCUAAUUCAAUUACAUCUGAAAAAUCAAUUAAAAGGAGAAAUUUUGCAAACAUUUAAAAGACUUUUAGCACAAUAUCUUCAUAAUCCUGAUGAUACAUGACACGAUUAAGCAUUUUAUCUCUGACAAAGGAGUCCGUUCUGCAUUUCCAGUCUGUCUCUCACACACACACACACACACACACACACACACACACACACACACACACAACUUGAUGAACUGGAAGACUGAUUAGAGAGCAGGCAGAUGCAGGACGUCUCUCCCACCUCCCUGAGGGAGAACUUAAUUACAUCUCUGCGUGGAGUGUGUUGAUAUACUGUGGCAUAUAGCAUUAAUUAUUUACCACACACACACACACACACACACACACACACACACACACGUUAAUCCGGACAGUAACCAUGUGUCAUUUUGUUCAUUUGUAGCUUUCUGACCAGCCUGAAGUGUUGUAUUGCUCUUAUACCACACAUUAUUACACCCUUAUUAAUUUGUAUCCAUUUAUUGUUACAAUAAAGGUUAUUUUACCUCUC